rnacentral:tRNA from 1 species
GCCUUGGUAGCGUAGUGGUAAGACGCUUGCCUGGUAAACAGGAGGGCGUGGGUUCGAUCUCAGCCGAGGCA